rnacentral:SRP_RNA from 1 species
GAUGUCGAUGUGAGCCGAUGCCGGGCUGCCUACUCCCCUGCUUGAU